rnacentral:rRNA from 1 species
GGCUCAGGACGAACGCUGGCGGCAUGCCUAAUACAUGCAAGUCGAGCGAACAGAUGAAGUGCUUGCACUUCUGACGUUAGCGGCGAACGGGUGAGUAACACGUAAGGAAUCUACCUAUAAGCGGGGGAUAACAUUCGGAAACGGGUGCUAAUACCGCAUAAUAUCUUCUUCCGCAUGGAAGAAGAUUGAAAGACGGCUCUGCUGUCACUUAUAGAUGACCUUGCGGUGCAUUAGUUAGUUGGUGGGGUAACGGCCUACCAAGACGAUGAUGCAUAGCCGACCUGAGAGGGUGAUCGGCCACAUUGGGACUGAGACACGGCCCAAACUCCUACGGGAGGCAGCAGUAGGGAAUCUUCCGCAAUGGGCGAAAGCCUGACGGAGCAAUGCCGCGUGAGUGAAGAAGGCCUUCGGGUCGUAAAACUCUGUUAUAAGAGAAGAACAAAUUGUAGAGUAACUGCUACAGUCUUGACGGUAUCUUAUCAGAAAGCCACGGCUACUACGUGCCAGCAGCCGCGGUAAUACGUAGGUGGCAAGCGUUGUCCGGGAUUUAUUGGGCGUAAAGGGAGCGCAGGUGGUUUCUUAAGUCUGAUGUGAAAGCCCACGGCUUACCGUGGAGGGUCAUUGGAAACUGGGUCACUUGAGUACAGAAGAGGAAUGUGGAACUCCAUGUGUACGUUGGAAUGC